GCUCUCAGCUCCUAGGUCCCGCCCCUCAUCCUCUCCUCGGAAAAGGCACGCCUCGCAGCCGGGCGGCGCUCAAUUCGGAUACUCAUUUUCUAAGCCACGCCCCUCUGCUCUCCUCCGAGAAGCCCCGCUCCCAGGCCUAGCCCGGACUCUGGGCCACGCCCCCCUCUCCUCGCCAAGAAGCUCCGCCCACUCCCAGGCUUAUCUCCGAGGUUUGGCUACCGGCCUGCUUGGCUUUGACAGACGUUUGUGCUUUGCGUGACCCUGCCUUUCCCCUUGGCAGCCGAACUCCGUCGCUUGGGUCAAUGCGGGGUCGUGGCUGUGCGCCACCUCGUGUGGCGUCCUGCUGCUGGCCUCAGCUCACCGGUGAUCUCAGGUCUUUUGUCAGCUGAAAAUGGCCGUGGCUGAUAGAGGCCCCGCUGGUCCCCGGGGCCCCUCACUGAGAUUUGAAAACUAACCUGUUUAUAGGAGAGAAGUGGCUAGGGGAGAGGCGAAGGCAACAGGCUUUGGAAAUCUGGCUACCAGAAGCCUUGCUUGAUGCCUCUCAUCCCAGCAUUCAGAAGAUUGCAACAGGAGACUAAGCCUCAACUACAGUGAGUUUGAGGCCAGUCUAAGUGAGCUACUUACUUGUAACCCUCAAAGAAAAAAAAAAAAAAUCAAAAGAACAGAAAAGUCGGCUGUAUUGGGAGUUAAGAGUCCCACCUCUGGCCACUGAAGGUUUGGGGUAACAGGAGCAUAAGGUCUGGGUGGCAGAACCUUUGUUCUAAACAGCUUUAUCUUUAUGACUGUUACUAUUAUUAGAAAAUGUUCUUAAGUCAACAAGUUAGCUCUCUGGGUAAAGGGGCUUGCGGUUCAGCCUGACUCGUUCUAUGGCCAGGACAAACAAUGAAGAAGAGACCAGAUUCCCUUUGCUUGUCCUCUGGCACAAGCAUGCCACUUACACACGAAUAAAUAAGGAAAUGCAAUAAAAAUAAGUUGUUAAGGUUCUGCUAUGGCCCAUCCCUGGGGAGGCAGAGGCAGGUAGAUCUCUAUGUGUUCAGGGCCAGCCUGAUCUACAUAGAGCACUCUAGGCCUACCAAGGCUACAUACAUAGUGAGACUCUAUCACCAAAAAAGAGUAGAAGUAGAAGGAGGAGGAGGAGGAGGAGGAAGCAGAGGAGGAGGUGGAAGAGGAGGAGGAGGAGGAGGAGAAGAAGAAAAGAAGAAGAAGAAGAAGAAGAAGAAGAAGAAGAAGAAGAAGAAGAAGAAGAAGAAGAAGAAGAAGGAGAAGGAGAAGGAGAAGAAGAAGAAGAAAAUUCUGCUAAAACUUCCUCUUGGACCAUGCUGGCCAGUGAACCCAGGGCCUCUGAAUGCAAGAUAAGUCUUCUGUUGCCAAGUCACGUCCACAGCCUCUCACUGGGAACUCUAGGCAAGCAAUCUACCUCUGAGCCACGCCCUGGCUGAUUCUCACCUGCAUCCAGCACGCCUACGUUCACAUUUCACCUGAGUAACUCCAGAAGCUUCCAGACUGUAUUCUGCCUCCCGUUUCUCCUGUGCUCCCCAGCCAAUGACAUUUCUUCUCUUCAUUUACUGUCCUGAUCACUGCCUCGCCUUCCAAAAAUAUGCUAUUGAUAGGCUGUGCAGGAAAAACCUGUAGAGUGGAUACACACCUUAUACACACUCAGAUACUAUAUGGACAAAAUGACAUUUUUAAAGAUGACAUAAAGUCCAAGCAUGGUGGUGGAUAGUUAUAAUCCCAGCACUCCUGAGACAGAGGCAGGAGGAUUCUACCAGUUCAAGUCUAGCCUGGUUUAUAUACUGAAUUUCAAGCUAGCCAAUAUUAUGUAGAAAUACCCUGUCUCAGACAAA